CCGCAAGUGCGAAGACCCUUAAAGGAUGGAGAAAAAUACUAAUUGAAGAUGUUGACCCCCUCUUAACAAAUCCCGCGAAAGGUCGCUUUACCGGAGGGUCGUCUUAUAAUCAAUCAAAUACGGUAUCUCCUGGGUGAAACCCACCCUGGAGAAGACCUGGAGCAGGGCAUCGGCUACAGAGGACGGCCUCCGGGUAUCGGGACAAGAUGGGCUUUCUUCAGAUACCAUAUGUUUUGAUCAUAUCAUCUUAUUUACUAUAAAAAUGAUAAUAAAACAUGGUGAAAAUUUGAAAAAAAAACACCUUUUAUGACUUU